rnacentral:rRNA from 1 species
UACGUAGGGUGCGAGCGUUGUCCGGAAUUAUUGGGCGUAAAGAGCUUGUAGGCGGUUUGUCGCGUCUGCUGUGAAAAUCCGGGGCUCAACCCCGGACUUGCAGUGGGUACGGGCAGACUGGAGUGUGGUAGGGGAGACUGGAAUUCCUGGUGUAGCGGUGGAGUGCGCAGAUAUCAGGAGGAACACCGAUGGCGAAGGCAGGUCUCUGGGCCACUACUGACGCUGAGAAGCGAAAGCAUGGGGAGCGAACAGG